rnacentral:tRNA from 5 species
GCUAGCGUAGCUCAAUUGGCAGAGCGGCUGAUUUGUAAUCAGCAGGUUGCGGGUUCAAGUCCCGCCGCUAGCU